UAAGUACAAUGUACAUCAAUUACUUGGAUGAAGAGAAUCUGCAACAUGGGGAAAUAAUGUUCCUGUAGAAAAGUCAAAGAAUGUAUACAUGUGAGAUUCUGAAGUAGCCGUACAUGAUGAGUAGGAAUUUGAAGUGAAUUAUGGGAAAAGUGAAAUGGUAAAAAAGAAACUGCUAGCGCUACUGUGCAGACUACCAUCAAUCAACAUGAUCAACAAAAUCAAGUAAUCCUUCUGAUUGUGCUGUGAAAAUAAGAGAUACAUCCGCAUUUUUGGG